AGUAGAAAGGAUGGCGGCCGCGAUGUCGGCGGCAGAGAGACAACAGAGAAGGUGGCGGCGGUGACGUUGGCGACGACUUUGCGGUGAUGUUGGCGACAGAGACGUGGCAGAGAGCAACCUUAGCGGCGAUGUCAGCAGCAGAAGUAGCAGGAGCCAGCACUUGGCCGAGAUUGGUAGUGGGGAAGGGUUCGUGCGAAUAGGAAUAGAGAAGAGAGAGAGAGUAAGGGCGUGUUUGGUUCAAAGUCGGAAUCGGAAUCGGAAUUGGAAUCAAAAUAAGCUGGAAUCGGAAUCGGAAUGACUCAUUACCUAAUUCUGUUUGGUUCAUCACCUGAAUCGGAAUCGGAAUAAAUUAUUCCCAUUGUCGGUGUUUGGUUCAUGUGGAUAUAAAAAACGUAAUCAAAUUAAUAUACUAACAUUAUAUUUAUAAUAUAUUAAUUUAAAUUCAAAUUAAAAAUUAAAUAUUAAAAAUUUACAUCAAAAUUUUGAAAUAAUGUCAAAAUUUUAAAUCUAUUUUUUUUAAAAAAAAAAUAAACUUUGAAGUUAAGUGGAUAAUUCAAAAUAUGAAACUAAAUUUUUGAUUUAUUCAAAUUCAAACUUAAAAUUACAAUUUAAAUUUUAAUUUGAAUCCAUAAAUUUAAUUUAAGUUUGAAAUAAAAUUUGAAUAAAACUUUAUAUAAAUUAAAAUUUAAUUUAAAUUCAAAUUCAUAAGUUAGAUUCGAAAUACUUGAUUAAAUUUUAAUUUUUAAUUUAAGUUCAAAUUAAAAUUUAAAAUUAUAUAUUUAAUUUUUAAAUUUUAAUUCAUAUUUUAAUUAAAAAAGUUGAAAAAAUAAAUUUAAUCCGAAUAAAUAUCAAUUCCGUCCGGAUUCAACUUCCAAUCCGGCCUCCUAGGCCGGAUUGAAAAAAGAGGUGAUUGGGGGAUUCCUAUUCCACUCAGGAAUCGGAAUUGGAAUGGGACUCCCGCGUACCAAACACCCACAAACGGAUUUACCCAUUCCAAUUCCGAUUCCAGGGUGAAAAAGAAGCGAACCAAACACGCUCUAAGAGAGAGGGGAUAAAAUUUAUGUACCCAUCUUCCCCACCCCUGUGCUCGAUAAUAUUUUCAGAGUAACUUGCACCAUUUGUAAUACUACAUUAUUGACUAGAUUACAAAUUGUAUGAAUCAAAAACAAUAAUCCUGACAAGAUUGUCUGUAAUCUUAGCAGGAUAAUUCGAACCAAACGCGCCGAUAAUCUUACCACCAUUAGGGCUAGAAAUCUAGCUCGUUAUUCACCAAGUCAACUCGU
rnacentral:lncRNA from 1 species